GGUUAAUAUUCCUGUACUUGGUGUUACUGCGAAGGGGGGACGGAGAAGGCUAUGUUGGCCGGGCGACGGUUGUCCCGGUUUAAGCGUGUAGGUGUGUGUUCCAGGUAAAUCCGGUUCACUUUAACACUGAGGCGUGAUGACGAGGCACUACGGUGCUGAAGCAACAAAUGCCCUGCUUCCAGGAAAAGCCUCUAAGCAUCAGGUAACAUCAAAUCGUACCCCAAACCGACACAGGUGGUCAGGUAGAGAAUACCAAGGCGCUUGAGAGAACUCGGGUGAAGGAACUAGGCAAAAUGGUGCCGUAACUUCGGGAGAAGGCACGCUGACACGUAGGUGAAGUGAUUUACUCACGGAGCUGAAGUCAGUCGAAGAUACCAGCUGGCUGCAACUGUUUAUUAAAAACACAGCACUGUGCAAACACGAAAGUGGACGUAUACGGUGUGACGCCUGCCCGGUGCCGGAAGGUUAAUUGAUGGGGUCAGCGCAAGCGAAGCUCCUGAUCGAAGCCCCGGUAAACGGCGGCCGUAACUAUAACGGUCCUAAGGUAGCGAAAUUCCUUGUCGGGUAAGUUCCGACCUGCACGAAUGGCGUAAUGAUGGCCAGGCUGUCUCCACCCGAGACUCAGUGAAAUUGAACUCGCUGUGAAGAUGCAGUGUACCCGCGGCAAGACGGAAAGACCCCGUGAACCUUUACUAUAGCUUGACACUGAACAUUGAGCCUUGAUGUGUAGGAUAGGUGGGAGGCUUUGAAGCGUGGACGCCAGUCUGCGUGGAGCCGACCUUGAAAUACCACCCUUUAAUGUUUGAUGUUCUAACGUGGACCCGUGAUCCGGGUUGCGGACAGUGUCUGGUGGGUAGUUUGACUGGGGCGGUCUCCUCCUAAAGAGUAACGGAGGAGCACGAAGGUUGGCUAAUCCUGGUCGGACAUCAGGAGGUUAGUGCAAUGGCAUAAGCCAGCUUGACUGCGAGCGUGACGGCGCGAGCAGGUGCGAAAGCAGGUCAUAGUGAUCCGGUGGUUCUGAAUGGAAGGGCCAUCGCUCAACGGAUAAAAGGUACUCCGGGGAUAACAGGCUGAUACCGCCCAAGAGUUCAUAUCGACGGCGGUGUUUGGCACCUCGAUGUCGGCUCAUCACAUCCUGGGGCUGAAGUAGGUCCCAAGGGUAUGGCUGUUCGCCAUUUAAAGUGGUACGCGAGCUGGGUUUAGAACGUCGUGAGACAGUUCGGUCCCUAUCUGCCGUGGGCGCUGGAGAACUGAGGGGGGCUGCUCCUAGUACGAGAGGACCGGAGUGGACGCAUCACUGGUGUUCGGGUUGUCAUGCCAAUGGCACUGCCCGGUAGCUAAAUGCGGAAGAGAUAAGUGCUGAAAGCAUCUAAGCACGAAACUUGCCCCGAGAUGAGUUCUCCCUGAGACUUAAAGUCUCCUGAAGGAACGUUGAAGACGACGACGUUGAUAGGCCGGGUGUGUAAGCGCAGCGAUGCGUUGAGCUAACCGGUACUAAUGAACCGUGAGGCUUAACCUUAC
rnacentral:rRNA from 1 species